rnacentral:rRNA from 1 species
UACAGAGGGUGCAAGCGUUAAUCGAAAUUACUGGGCGUAAAGGGUGCGUAGGUGGUUUGAUAAGUUAGAUGUGAAAUUCCUGGGCUCAACCUGGGGACUGCGUCUGAUACUGUCAGGCUAGAGUUCUGUAGAGGAAGGUGGAAUUUCCGGAGUAGCGGUGAAAUGCGUAGAUAUCGGAAGGAACAUCGGUGGCGAAAGCGGCCUUCUGGACAGGGACUGACACUGAGGCACGAAAGCGUGGGGAGCAAACAGG